AUAAUAUAAAUGUCUAUAGUUUUAAUUAAGUUAAUCUUAAAAGGUUUAUAAAUUUUUUGAAGGAGGUCCUUACCUUUUGCAUAAUGGUUUAAUUAUAAUAUUUUUGGAUAAAUUUUCCCGAACAAGAAAGAUCUAUAAACUAAGUAUUUUUAGGUAUAAAUAUUGUUGUUGAAUAAACAAUCAAAAAUUAUUUUAUAGGGGCGAAACACCUACAAUUUUUUUGAUAACUGGAUUUAAUUUAAAUGUAUUUAGUACAUUAAGACAGACAAUAAGUGAUAAGAUUUAUUGUAAUGAAAUUUUUAAUUUUUAAAAUUUUGGAGAAAUAAAAUUUUCAAAAAUUUUUAAGAGUAUAAUAAAUCUCUAGUAGAAAUUCUUAUUUAAAUUAAAAUUUUUAAGAUUUAGUUUUGAAAAUAAAUUAUGUUUAAAUGAGUAAUAAUAAACAAUAUAUUUUAAGGAACUCGGCAAACAUAUUUUUCACCUGUUUAACAAAAACAUAGCUUUAAGAUUUUUCAUUUAAAGUUUUACCUGCCCGGUGGAAUUUCUUAACGGCCGCAGUACUUUGACUGUGCUAAGGUAGCAUAAUAAAUUGGCUUUUAAUUAAAGUCGGGUAUGAAAGGGAAUUUGGAAAAUAACUGUCUCAAGUAUAUUUUAUUUUAAUUUAAUUAAUGAGUGAAAAUUCUCAUAUUUUAUUUCAUUAGACGAGAAGACCCUAAGAGUUAUAAUUAAAAUGAAUUUAUUUCAUAUAUCAUUUUUGUUGGGGCAACAAAGACUGGAUAGAACCGUCAAAAAGUAAUUUUACAUAACCAAUAAUAUUUAAAAAGAAAUAAACUACCUUAGGGAUAACAGCAUAAUUAAUUUUUAGAUUGUGACCUCGAUGUUGGAUUAAGGACUUAGUUUACUAGCCGUAAACUAAGAUAGUUCUGUUCGAACUGUAGUACCUUACAUGAUCUGAGUUCAGACCGGCGUAAGCCAGGUCAGUUUCUAUCUUUUAUAUUUAAUAUUCUAGUACGAAAGGACCGUAUAUUUAUAGAUAUCUAUUUGUUUACU
rnacentral:rRNA from 1 species